rnacentral:tRNA from 1 species
CCCGUUUAGCUCAGUGGUAGAGCGCGCCACUCGUAAUGGUGAGGUCGGUUGUUUCAAUCCAGCCAAUGGG